GUUUUCUUAGUAUAAUAGUACAAGUGAUUUCCAAUUACUUAGCCUUGGUUAAACCCCAAGAGAAAACA
rnacentral:tRNA from 1 species